ACCUAGCUGGCUCAGUCAGUAGAGCACGAGACUCUUGAUCUUGGGCUGUGAGUUUGAGCCUCAUGUUGGAUG
rnacentral:tRNA from 1 species